rnacentral:rRNA from 1 species
GACGAACGCUGGCGGCGUGCUUAACACAUGCAAGUCGAACGGAAAGGUCCUGCUUUUGUGGGGUGCUCGAGUGGCGAACGGGUGAGUAACACGUGAGUAACCUGCCAUUGACUUUGGGAUAACUUCAGGAAACUGGGGCUAAUACCGGAUAGGAGCUCCUGCUGCAUGGUGGGGGUUGGAAAGUUUCGGCGGUUGGGGAUGGACUCGCGGCUUAUCAGCUUGUUGGAGGGGUAGUGGCUUACCAAGGCUUUGACGGGUAGCCGGCCUGAUCGGGUGACCGGCCACAUUGGGACUGAGAUACGGCCCAGACUCCUACGGUAGGCAGCAGUGGGGUAUAUUGCACAAUGGGCGGAAGCCUGAUGCAGCAACGCCGCGUGCGGGAUGACGGCCUUCGGGUUGUAAACCGCUUUCGCCUGUGACGAAGCGUGAGUGACGGUAAUGGGUAAAGAAGCACCGGCUAACUACGUG